CCUGAUGUGGGGGAUAACUAUUGGAAACGAUAGCUAAUACCGCAUAAUCUCUUCGGAGCAAAGAGGGGGACCUUCGGGCCUCUCGCGUCAGGAUUAGCCCAGGUGGGAUUAGCUAGUUGGUGGGGUAAUGGCUCACCAAGGCGACGAUCCCUAGCUGGUCUGAGAGGAUGAUCAGCCACACUGGAACUGAGACACGGUCCAGACUCCUACGGGAGGCAGCAGUGGGGAAUAUUGCACAAUGGGGGAAACCCUGAUGCAGCCAUGCCGCGUGUAUGAAGAAGGCCUUCGGGUUGUAAAGUACUUUCAGUUGUGAGGAAGGCGUUGGAGUUAACAGCUUCAGCGCUUGACGUUAGCAACAGAAGAAGCACCGGCUAACUCCGUGCCAGCAGCCGCGGUAA
rnacentral:rRNA from 1 species